CUGCGUUCAAGUCGCGUAGAGACUGAUAGGACAGCUUCGAGGAAACACAAGUGGUUUAUCGGAAGGCAUCUUGUGCGCAGAGCUCUGAACAGCUAACUAGCGGUAAAAUGGCCGCCGCGACUAGCUUCCGCCCCUCAUACGUUGCGGGAUGGCGCCGCGGAUCAUCUAGCGCCAACUGUGCUGGAGCGCAUGAGCAAAAAAAAACAAAGCGGUGAAGAAACAAGCGCUCGACCGCCCCUAUCGUCCUGGCGGAAGGCGCAUUCGCCGUCAGACCCAACAAUAUGAUAAAACAGUGAAAAACAGGACAACACUUUACAGUUGGGCUCGGUUUGUUAUUGCAUGACCAAUCACGUGCAAACAAUUAAUAAUACUUAUAAGACGUUUAUUAAACUUUGUUAAUAUCUACUUCUUUUUUAAACAUUUGAACAUGAAUGCAAUUAUGAACUGACCUAAACAAUACGUAAGUCCAGAUGCUAAUUGUUUGUUUAUAUCUAAUGCAUUAUUACUCCUUAAUUGAAUCUUUUUUAAAGCAUUACCAAAGUGGCAAUGCAUUGCUCACCUAAUUCUAAAUCAACUUCGGCUGAUACUUAAAUGAUUCCGUAUAAAAGUAUACUGUGGCCUAAAUUCACCAACUCAAAAUGAAUAAGAAAUUGACAAAACACAGCAUAGGUCAGCCAUAAAGGUCAGUCUUCUUGAUCUGACCUGCAUUCCCAAAAUGAGCUAUCAACAUUUUAAACUGUAAUCUCUUUCAUGCAUAAACUAAUCUGACAGAAAAAGAAAUACAAAAACAUGUGUAAAACAACAUUUUUUAUUUUUUAUGUGAUCUUGUCAUGCUAGAAAUAACUAUCAGGAUGUGUUGCCGCCAUGGCUGAUAUGUGAGGGAUGAGUAAACAUGAACCCUAACAUUAAAAGGAUGAGUGGAUGUGCUGUGGGCAUGAGCAAACAUGGCUUCUUACAACACAGACUGCGUUCCCUGUGAUCAGAAAGUGCUGCACUAGGGUGCGCCCUUUCCUUUCAAACGUUUUAGAAACACAAGAAGAUUGUUGACCAUUUCUGAGGGAAAGGGUAAAGACAAAAACAGUGUUGGAAGGAUUUACCCUUUGUUCUCUGCCAGAGAGGCUGAAUGAAACGACACAGUCAGCCAUCAUUCAACACCUGUCAUUCAGCAACCCCAUCUGCUGGGCUCCUGCCUGAACCUGUAGAGCCUCUCACCUCAGCCCCCCGUUAAAAGUGCUGGAAUCAAAAUGUUUGGCUUUGAAGUGAAUCUAAAAUAGAUGGGUGCAAUGUCCCAUCCCCUUUUCUUUUCAGUGCAAUAUAAUGUCUGUGCUUAACACAUCUUACAACAGCUUGUAACGGCUACCUCUGCUUGCCUUUGUCAGUGUGAAUGUUGGAUUAACUGAAUUUUUAAUACGUGAAUUUUUAAUGACCAUCAAUGGCAGUGCCAUUGUAAAUGUAAGCUUUGUUUAAAUUAGUCAACAAAGACCACAAGCAACAUUUUUAUGAAUGCAGUGUUUUUACCAAAAUUCAACAGUACUGGAUGCCAAUCUGCUUAUUCAUAGAGGUACAGAUGAAAAAUGUAAUGUAAAGAAAUAGAUGUAAAUAAACAUAAACAUAAAUUCUAAUUUUGGGGUGAACUAUCCCUUUAAGCAGUUGAAGGAAUGUUAUUUUCAUGUUAAUACAAAAACGUAUACCUUAUUUUUCAUGCUAACAGACUUGUUCAUUUUCGAGGCCAUGUCUGUUCCCCUGCAAAAUGUAAGUUAGGCUUGACUCAUUUGUGUACAUUAU